rnacentral:misc_RNA from 1 species
AACCUAGCACACCUGCGGUGUGUACCUGCGGAGGGAUCAUUACCGAGUGAGGGCCCUCCGGGUCCAACCUCCCACCCGUGUUUAACGAACCUUGUUGCUUCGGCGGGCCCGCCUCACGGCCGCCGGGGGGCACUCCGCCCCCGGGCCCGCGCCCGCCGAAGACACCUGUGAACGCUGUCUGAAGUUGCAGUCUGAGACACUAGCUCAAUCAGUUAAAACUUUCAACAAUGGAUCUCAGAU